rnacentral:rRNA from 1 species
AGUUGGGCACUCUAGUGAGACUGCCGGUGACAAACCGGAGGAAGGUGGGGACGACGUCAAAUCAUCAUGCCCCUUAUGACCUGGGCUACACACGUGCUACAAUGGAUGGUACAACGAGUUGCGAGACCGCGAGGUUUAGCUAAUCUCUUAAAACCAUUCUCAGUUCGGAUUGUAGGCUGCAACUCGCCUACAUGAAGCCGGAAUCGCUAGUAAUCGCGGAUCAGCAUGCCGCGGUGAAUACGUUCCCGGGCCUUGUACACACCGCCCGUCACACCAUGAGAGUUUGUAACACCCAAAGCCGGUGAGGUAACCCUUCGGGGAGCCAGCCGUCUAAGGUGGGACAGAUGAUUAGGGUGAAGUCGUAACAAGGUAGCCGUAGGAGAACCUGCGGCUGGAUCACCUCCUUUCUAAGGAA